rnacentral:ncRNA from 2 species
AGGCUGGCCGGUGUAGUUGGUUCGCCCCGUCCGCCAGGCGGGAUGCGUCGUAAGAGGGAACCCGGUGGGAAUCCGGGACUGCCCCGCAGCGGUGAGCGGGAACGACCGCCGUCAUACGCACUGGGUCCGGUGAGCGGGCCUGGGAAGCGACGGCCACUAGGUGUCCUCCCCCAGGAGGACGCGCCCGUGAGUCCGAAGACCUGCCAUCUGCCCGCGUACGGA